GAGCCAGUAGUGCAAGGGCUGAAGCACGCGCUCCCAGAGAGAGCGUGGUGCGGAUUCGAGUUCCGCUUGACGCG